rnacentral:lncRNA from 1 species
UAAAAUAAAGAACAUUUACAGAAAACAUCUUUCUUUCUCAUCCCGUUUUCCAGGAGAAUCAGCGGUUGGAGGAGGUUCUACAGAGGUGAAAACAGAUCCUCCACCAGGUGCAGACGCUUCAGCAGCUCAGGAUGCUAAAAGUACUGCUGCCGUGGGAAAAGCGAACACAAGGCCAAAUGAGAGUAAAAACAGGAGAAAUAAAGGUGCUGGAUGUGUUACAAAUGCUCACACAAAUCUUCAGAACAAUACUCAAGAAGUCACUCCAGUCAUUCCAUCAACAUCAGAAAGAAAGAAGGCUGAGAACCAGCAUAAGACCGACACUGCAAAGACCUCAGAAAGAUCAGGACCAUCUUCAAAGAGCGGUCAGAGAAACACAGCAGAGCUUCAUUAUAAUGCUGCAACUGCAAGAAAUCCACAGCAAGAGCAACAGGACUCUAACAAUUCUGAAGAAGAAUUUGUGGACGUUUCUGAAGAUUUUAUCCCUGAAACGGCAACUGUGAUAAAAGGUACACCUUCCACUGAUUUCUCUUACCCCUGUGGACCUGGAGAACAGCAGGGUGUACACCCAUCAGGCAAGGAACUCAUCACAAUUACAUAUAUACACUUUAAUGGUUUUAAACAAUUACAUAAUUAUACCUUAAUACCAAUCACAACAUUUAUUCAUAUAUAAAGUAUCUCACAAAAGUGAGUACACCCCUCAUAUUUUUGUAAAUAUAUAAAAUUUCAUGGGACAGCACUGAAGAUAUGACACAUUGAGACAGUGUAAUAUAGUC